rnacentral:rRNA from 1 species
GACAGAGGUGCCGAGCGUUAGGCGGAAUCACUGGGCUUAAAGCGUGUGUAGGCGGCCCGUUAAGUGUCUUGUGAAAUCCCCCGGCUCAACCGGGGAACGGCUGGGCAUACUGGCGGGCUUGGGUCGCUCAGGGGCAGACGGAACAGGCGGUGGAGCGGUGAAAUGCGUAGAUAUCGCCUGGAACGCCGAAGGUGAAAACAGUCUGCUGGGGGCGCACCGACGCUGAGACACGAAAGCCAGGGGAGCGAACGGG